rfam:Mesocricetus auratus contig062685, whole genome shotgun sequence.
GGAGAGAUGGCUCAGUGGUUAAGAGCACUGGCUGCUCUUCCAGAGGACCUGGGUACAAUUCCCAGCACCUACA